rnacentral:lncRNA from 1 species
GGCUAUAAGAAAGACUAAACCUAGGGUUCAUACAUUUGCAACUAUAUGAAAUAGAAAUACACACAUUUUCACACUAUGCAUUAACCACCUACUAAUUUUGCAAAACAUACAUCUUCACAAAUUUGCAAUACAUUAACCAUCUACGAAUUUUGUUAUGCCUUUAUCCUCACAAUCUUGCAUUCAACAUACAGAAAGAUUUCUUAUAAAAUUCAUAUAUACAUCACAAAAUAAAAUGGACCAACAUAUAUGCAUUCACCAACAUAUCCUCACAUAUCUUGCAAUUGUUUCACCCACACAUCCUCACAUAGGCGCUUCGGUACCCGAGUCGAGGGGAGGAGGAAGAACGGGCUGGUGGGUGGGGUAGGGCCCGCCCGCAGCAUCACUUGCCUCUUCGGUACCUACCGCCACCACCUCGGGCGGUAGGCCACCGAAGCCUACCGCCUCAAACUGUGGCGGUAGGCCCUUUCCCCCGUCAGUACGCGCCGACGGCCGUCAGUCGUCGUUAGAGGGCCUACCGCCACUGAUGAUGGCGGUAGGACGUGCAAACCUACCGCCGGCCCUCCUGACGGUAGUCAAAAGGGUCAGAUCCCGAAAUAGUUUUAGACAGGGGUCAGAUCUUGAAUUUCUUUGUAAAAAGGGUCAAAACACGAAAUUUUGCCUCAAAUGUCCUCUCGACGAAUCAUUCAUGGGUAUGGCCGGCAUUACCUUUCUCCCGGUCAUGUCCUUUUCUCAGAAGGGCAUGGGCUGAUUGUACACCUGGUGAGCCCCCGGUCGUCUGAUUGACAGUGUAUGGCUGAUAUAUGAUGGCCCGUCCCGUGAUGAUACUCCGGUUCACCACCCCUCACUCUUGCAAACUUUCUCCAGUGUGUGGCUGAUAUAUGACGGCCGAGGAUCGCCGGUUCACCACCACUCACUCUUGCAAACCACACUCGAGUUCGCCAGCUUUCCAUUUGUUCUCUGCUAAUCAGCCCAACCUCUAGCGAGUUGCAAAUCUCGUGACUGUGAG